rnacentral:misc_RNA from 1 species
AAAAUAUUUAUAUUUCGUGGCACGGAUAUAUAUAUAUAUAUAGAUAUAUUCUUUAAUGACAGUAGUAUAGAUUGUUUUUAGCAUAUUAUCAAUUAAGAGUUUGUAUUUUAUGAAUUUAUGUCGUUAAAGUAUUUAUAAAAAAUAAAAAUAUCUUUUACAUUGAAUUUAUAAUUUAAUUAGAAUUUAUUUGAAUUAGACGUAAAUAUUUAAGUAAUAAUAUAAUUUUUUUAUGCAAAUAUUGAAUAAAUUUAAUUAUAUGAAAAAAGUUUUUUAAAAAAAUGAAAAACUAUGAACAGUGUCAGGGAUUAUAUAUAGAGUGGUGGAGAGAAUUCGGCUCAAAAUGCAAAAGUUGACCAUGCAGAUUAAUUUUAUUUUAUUUUCCGAUUUUGAUAGUUAUCUGUUCAGUUUGAUUUUUAUUUUUUUAACUUUUUAAUUAUUAAAAAAAUUAAAAAACCCAAAUCGAAUCGAUAUAAUUUUAGUUGGCACAUUUAUUCGUCUGGAAUAUUACUUUUUGUGGUAAUGUGUUUUUGUUAAUUCAAUUCUUUUAUUGAAUCAGUUUGAUUUAAUUUUUGUAAUAUUAAUUAUUUAUUGUUUUAUUUUUUUAAUUUAAUUUUGAUUCAAUAACAGAAUUGCUUACCCAUAAUUAUAUAUGUUUGGUAGUGCUUGGAAAUCCUAACCACAGUAGGUAAGUUUUAAUCUUCUUUCUCUUAAUUUUUAGGGUUGUUUUAAAGUUAAUGUAAAGAUUAAUAAAAUCUAAAGUUUAAAGUUAGAUUUAAGUUGUCGAGAAUAGUUUUAGUUGUUUAAAUUCUAGAAUGGGAUAAUGGACCUAGGAAGAGAACUUUAGGAGCAAGUGUUGAUAUUUGGGUGUUUAACCAUAAGUUUUAGAUUCUAAACGAAUUGUGGGAAAUUUCAGGUUCAGUGGCUAAAACAUGGAAGUUUGGUUGCCGAAACAUGUAAACAGUAACGUAAAUAGUGUAUAGAAAGUUAGGUCGCCAGACAUUCAAAUUUUGGCUCCCAAACUUGCUUUGCCAAUGCAAAUGUGUUUUUAAUUAAAAUUGUUUAAAUCUAAAACUAAAUGUCUUAUCAAAUCAAACCUUUUCUUGUAAACAAGAGUUAGGACAUGAAGGGCCAAAAAUCAAGAAUCUAAGAGUCAUCAGAUGAAAGUGUAAGAGUUGACACCAUAAGGUGAAACUCUAUUAAAAUAAAUGCUCCUCUAUGCAUACACGUGCAUUCAUGCAUCCUGACCUAUUUUAUCAGAUAUAAAUGCAUCCUUUGGUUAAUUAUGUAAAUAUUUUACGUUCACAAUUACGCUGUAUAAUUGCUUAUGUUGUUCUGGUAGUUCAUGGAUUACAAAGUGAUGCCAAAAGAAAAAAAGAAAUACAUGCAUGCUAAAUGGACUCACAAACUCCUUGAGGGAAAUGAUCCGGUGUAUAUUCCAAGAUGAGGUGGUGAGAUCCACAAGGCUCCUUGAGGGAAAUAAUCUAGUGUUUAUCCAAAGACAGAAGGCCUAGAAAAGAUGGGGAACCUGGUAAAGUAAUUACGUGUUUCUAACCCUAUUUAUUUGAUAUGAUAUGUUUAUGAAAUGGCUGAAGAAUCACUGAUGACAUGAAUUGCCUUGCUGUGAAUUGUUUAUGCUGUGAAAACUUAUGUGACUACUGCAUAUUCAUGUACUUGUAUAUAAUUGUUUACAUGUAUGUUUUAUUCCUUAAGUAGACUUUUACUCACCGAGCUCUCAACUGACUCCCCUUUUUUUGUCUCCACCUUUAGAGACGAGUAUAGAAGAUACAAUAAAUGGUUUUGCUAGCUGAGUUCUAGAGGUUAUUGCCUCAAUUUUACUGUACAUUUUGUGGAACUUCUUUUGUAAUGACAUGUAAUUUUGCUAUUGUAGUACUAUAUUUUGCCACCCAAUAUUUUGUAAUAUUAAAAUGUAAAUAUUGUUUUAUGUUAGUGAAAGUAUUUUCAUGAAUAACAUGAGCCUUAAAUGAAAAAGUUAUGCAUGUUAGACUUGCUACAGACUUAGGAAGCCUUAUGCUGGCCUAAGUCUCAGUGUAGGUAACAGUCUUAGAUUUUGGUUGUUACGCUAAUGGUACAUGAAAAGA